UACGUAGGGUGCAAGCGUUGUCCGGAAUUAUUGGGCGUAAAGAGCUCGUAGGCGGCUUGUCGCGUCGAAUGUGAAAACCCACGGCUCAACUGUGGGCUUGCAUUCGAUACGGGCAGGCUAGAGUUCGGUAGGGGAGACUGGAAUUCCUGGUGUAGCGGUGAAAUGCGCAGAUAUCAGGAGGAACACCGGUGGCGAAGGCGGGGUCUCUGGGCAUUAACUGACGCUGAGGAGCGAAAAGCAUGGGGGAGCGAACAGG
rnacentral:rRNA from 1 species